rnacentral:rRNA from 1 species
GUAUACGUGGUAGGGGAGCGUUCUGUAAGCCGAUGAAGGUGUGUUGAGAAGCAUGCUGGAGGUAUCAGAAGUGCGAAUGCUGACGUGAGUAACGACAAAACGGGUGAAAAACCCGUUCGCCGAAAGACCAAGGGUUCCAGUCCAACGUUAAUCGGGGCUGGGUGAGUCGACCCCUAAGGCGAGGCCGAAAGGCGUAGUCGAUGGGAAAAUGGUUAAUAUUCCAUUACUUCUGUGUAAUGCGAUGAGAGGACGGAGAAGGCUAAAUCAGCCUGGCGUUGGUUGUCCAGGUGAAAGGAUGUAGGCAUGUAUCUUAGGCAAAUCCGGGGUACUCUAUGCUGAGAUCUGAUAGCAAGCUGUACUUGUACAGCGAAGUGGUUGAUGCCAUGCUUCCAGGAAAAGUCUCUAAGCUUCAGUUACACAGGAAUCGUACCCGAAACCGACACAGGUGGUCAGGUCGAGUAGACCAAGGCGCUUGAGAGAACUCUGCUGAAGGAACUAGGCAAAAUGGUACCGUAACUUCGGGAGAAGGUACGCUGUUGUUGGUGAUGGAACUCGCUUCCUGAGCUGACGACAGCCGCAGAAACCAGGCCGCUGCAACUGUUUAUUAAAAACAUAGCACUCUGCAAACACGAAAGUGGACGUAUAGGGUGUGAUGCCUGCCCGGUGCUGGAAGGUUAAUUGAUGGGGUUAGCGUAAGCGAAGCUCUUGAUCGAAGCCCCAGUAAACGGCGGCCGUAACUAUAACGGUCCUAAGGUAGCGAAAUUCCUUGUCGGGUAAGUUCCGACCUGCACGAAUGGCAUAAUGAUGGCGGCGCUGUCUCCAGCAGAGGCUCAGUGAAAUCGAAAUCGCUGUGAAGAUGCAGUGUACCCGCGGCUAGACGGAAAGACCCCGUGAACCUUUACUGCAGCUUGACACUGAACUUUGACCUUACUUGUGUAGGAUAGGUGGGAGGCUUUGAAGCUGGAACGCUAGUUCCAGUGGAGCCGUCCUUGAAAUACCACCCUGGUAAUGUUGAGGUUCUAACUCUGUCCCGUGAUCCGGGACGAGGACCGUGUCUGGUGGGUAGUUUGACUGGGGCGGUCUCCUCCUAAAGAGUAACGGAGGAGUACGAAGGUGCGCUCAGCGUGGUCGGAAAUCACGCGUAGAGUAUAAAGGCAAAAGCGCGCUUAACUGCGAGACCCACAAGUCGAGCAGGUACGAAAGUAGGUCUUAGUGAUCCGGUGGUUCUGUAUGGAAGGGCCAUCGCUCAACGGAUAAAAGGUACUCUGGGGAUAACAGGCUGAUACCGCCCAAGAGUUCAUAUCGACGGCGGUGUUUGGCACCUCGAUGUCGGCUCAUCUCAUCCUGGGGCUGAAGCAGGUCCCAAGGGUAUGGCUGUUCGCCAUUUAAAGAGGUACGCGAGCUGGGUUUAGAACGUCGUGAGACAGUUCGGUCCCUAUCUACCGUGGGCGCUGGAAAUUUGAGAGGAUCUGCUCCUAGUACGAGAGGACCAGAGUGGACGAACCUCUGGUGUACCGGUUGUGACGCCAGUCGCAUCGCCGGGUAGCUAUGUUCGGAAGGGAUAACCGCUGAAAGCAUCUAAGCGGGAAGCCUACCUCAAGAUAAGAUUUCCCUAGGACUUUAUGUCCUCUAAAGAGCCGUUCGAGACUAGGACGUUGAUAGGUUGGAUGUGGAAGCAUAGUGAUAUGUGAAGCUGACCAAUACUAAUUGCUCGUGAGGCUUGACUAU